AACGAACGCUGGCGGCAUGCCUAACACAUGCAAGUCGAACGAGACCUUCGGGUCUAGUGGCGCACGGGUGCGUAACGCGUGGGAACCUGCCUUUAGGUUCGGAAUAACUCAGAGAAAUUUGAGCUAAUACCGGAUGAUGUCUUCGGACCAAAGAUUUAUCGCCUUUAGAUGGGCCCGCGUUGGAUUAGCUAGUUGGUGGGGUAAAGGCCUACCAAGGCGACGAUCCAUAGCUGGUCUGAGAGGAUGAUCAGCCACACUGGGACUGAGACACGGCCCAGACUCCUACGGGAGGCAGCAGUGGGGAAUAUUGGACAAUGGGCGAAAGCCUGAUCCAGCAAUGCCGCGUGAGUGAUGAAGGCCUUAGGGUUGUAAAGCUCUUUUACCCGAGAUGAUAAUGACAGUAUCGGGAGAAUAAGCUCAGGCUAACUCCGUG
rnacentral:rRNA from 1 species